AUUAGUUGUAAAACAUUUUCACCACUAUAAUACCAAGAAUGUCUUUUUUUUUUUUUUUUUUUUUUUUUAAGAUAAGGUCUCUACCAUAAAGUAAGCUAUAUAAAAAGCUUAAAUUGCAAUAUUGGGCUUGUGGCCAGGAAAUUAAAUAGACAUAUUUUUAAUUCUUUAAAACCUCACAUGUUGUGCCAAAACUUAUACCAAAUGCAUGCUGUUGUAAACUCACAAAGAUAUUUUUUCCAUGUGACUCCAUUGGUAUUAUUUUCUAUUGCGGUGAAAAUGUCUAUUUAUUCCAUCAAAGUCAUUAUUUUUUUAAAAACCUACUGUAUAAGAGAUUAAUUAUCAGAAUGAAAUACUCGCUGCUUAUUUAUUUUGAUUCCAUGUGGUGAUGCCCUGCAAUACAUAGCAUUUAAUCACAUUACCGUAAGAUGCAGUGAUCAUCUUAAGGUUCCACCUGGCACUUGCGUUGCCAGUUACCGCAUAAAUAAUAAGCUGCUAGAUACAUUGUGUUAUGAAAAGCAACACAACAGGUGGCAACGAUGUACUGUAGACUUCUGGUUCUACCGUAAAAAGAAACAUGUUAUGUCAUGUGAAAAAAACAGGGCACACAAUAACUGUACAUAAUAAAAACAACUAUUUAUUUUUAAUUAUUUUUCAGGACCAGAAGGGAAGUGUAAUUACACUGCAGAUAAAUGCUUAGUUCUCCAUAGUACACAAGGAGUUUAGAAGAAAUGCUACAGUGUUAAAGCGCAUAAUCAUAUCUUGAUAUUGAUUUGACAUUGUGUUAAUACAAUUUUGGUAUUAUCAGUUUUUACUGUAUUCUCAAUGAACCAGACACUAAUAUUGGAAACAGGGCCUGUAACAAUAGCAAAUACUAUCAAAUCAAGAAUAUUGUAUUUAUUAUAGUAUGAUAACUAUACUUCUUUGGACAUGUAAAAUUCAUGGUUUGUUUCUCCU